AACGGUAGUUUAUCCACUGGAACAGCAGCAACAACAGUCUUUGGUUCCUCCUUGCUCUCAGGCUCAGCCCCGUCCACGCCAGAAGCAGCCGCCUUCACCACAAUUCUUCCAUGGCUAGAGUUCAAGCUGUAAGCACUGAGAGAGACUCUGUUCUUGGACUCGACAGCGUUGGGUUUAAG